CUCACCUCUCAUAACAGGAGCAGGUCCGAGCAGCAGGAGCAGGUCUGAGCAGCAGAAGAAGCCCACUUCCCGUCGCUGUCCCCUGCCCCCCGCGUCCAGAAGGAACACAUCUGGGACUGUGUGUGGGGAGGGGGAGCGCGUCGUGUGUUUGCACCGAGCUUUUCGAAGGUCAGGGAUCCCGGUCAACUCAGAUGGGCUCAGGAGUCGUCAUCCACUGUCUCCCGUCUGUCUGCAUGUGUGGAAUGUUGGCUCUGAUGACUUCAACCUAAAGUUACAGCUGUGUCAUUGAGCAUCACUUGUCUCUUAAGAGAGGAAGCCCGAACCCCUCCUCCCCUUUGGAUUUUCACUUUCUUCUUCCUCUCUGGCCAUCUCCUGAGCAGGAUCCCAGAUAAAGAACUUCCUCUGAUAAACCUUAAGUAGAACAGUGGCCCAUGAAUUACUGUGUCUUGUCAGUGGAUCUCAGCAGUGCUGGAUGUGGAUGCGGUUCUACCUUCCGGCGGGAGCGGAGCUUCGGGCUGGAUGCAGACGGAAAUUAAAAUGAAGAAGGAGAAGAUGAUGAAGGCGAUGGCUAUGAAGUCUUACCCAUGUUCCGCUCCUCCCGAGCAUCCCGGUGAACGCAACGAGGCCGAACACCAGCAGCGAGAAGAGGACGACGCACACCUCCAGCUCGGUGAAUGGGGAGGCCAUGAGCCGCUCCGCACGGUCAGCUGACACUAGGCUCCCAUACAAACUCGGGACAGUCUUUUCAAGCAAAAACAAGCGUGUGCUGUAGUGUGACCCGAGGCUUUGUGAACCAUUGUGACACCUCCCCUCUCCUAUUCUCGGUCACACAUUUGAACAUUUUGCAAAGGCGUAUCGGUGGAAGCUGUGAACAGCGGACUCCCCUCUCAAGUUCAACCAAGAUCAUAUUAACCCUAAUUAUUAAUGGGUGGCCUGCUUGCGCGUUUAACUGCAGAGGUUCAGUAGCACUGGACUCUCUUCACUAUACAAUGGUGGUCAUGUGAGUUAAAGAGAGCGCGGAAAACUCAUACGUAGCCAUUCGUUGUUCAUUUGCUACUUUUUGUUGAGCUUUGAAUGAUGUUAUAACCUGGAGUAGUAUUUUAUGCUGUUCUUCACCUUUGUAGUCUCUCCUUCUUCUGCUGAAGCGCUCCGAUCUUUAUUUCUCAAAGUCUGUCACGUCGUAGAUGUACAACAAAAGUGUCCAACACAUUUUUAAAGCCCACAAUCCAUCACCAAACCCGCUCUCAGCAAUUCUGUGCUCAAGGUGUGUUUCGUCAAGGCGCCAUAGAUGCACUAGUAUGCUGCUUGGAUUCACUGCUUUGUCACGUGUCAUUCCCCCUUUAUGCCUAUAGAGGCUGCUCCAGGCCAAUUCGACAUCCUGACCAGCCUUUCUCACACUCCUUACUGUCUUUUCCUGACAUAGACGUUAUUUUAAGGCGGAAUAUAUCAAAGCUGAGGCACCGAAAGGAAUGUUUUUAAGCCUAAAUUGUGCACAAAAUGUCCACAAAGUCAGCAAGGGACAAGGAUCGAACGGAAUAAAACCAACCAAGUCUACAAUGCCUUCACUGGAAUUGACUGGAAUUUUUACUUCAAAAUCUCUACUUUGCUAUUAUUUUUCAAUUUUCCAUUCUAUGGCAGAAUGAUCC
ensembl:lncRNA